rnacentral:rRNA from 1 species
UUAUAAGGUCAUACCACCCUGAAUGUGCCCAAACUCCUCUGACCUGGGAGGCCAAAUAGGGUUGAACCUGAUUAGUUCUUUGAUGUGGGCCAAAUAUAUUUUGAUUGUGGUGCAUAGA